rnacentral:ncRNA from 1 species
CUUAUCAAGAAAGGCAGAGGGAUUUGGCCCGUUGAAGCCUUGGCAACCCAUAUAGUUACUCAACUAUAUGAAGGUGCCAACUCCAGUACCCAUGGGUACAGAGAUAAG